AGCUCCUGUCCUCCAGGUUCCUGUCCUGUUCGAAUUGCUGUCCUGGCUUCCUUCAAAGACUGACUGCUAUGUGAAAAUGUACAAAGCUCUGGACUCAAAGCAUAGCACCUCACAGGUUAGACAUGCCUAUAACCCCAGGACUGGAGAUGGAGAGGUAGGAAGACCAAAGUCAUCCUUGGCUGUGUAUCAAACUCAAGGAUAUCCUGGGCUAAAGAGUCUGUCUCCAGAGGGAUUUCAUUUCCUGGACUUCAUUUAAAACUUGUGUGGGAAAGGACCUUGGAGAUGUAGCUGUUCGCCUUGCAGCCCCUGUGAUGCUGGACUGUGCCAGUGGGUAGAGGAGGACACGGAUUGCUCACCUCUCCUUCCUUCUGUGCUCUCAGGAACGGUCAACACUUCUCACAGACAACUUUUCUACUGAUAAGUCCUUGUUGUGCUGUGUGUGUGUGUGUGUGUGUGUGUGUGUGUGUGUGUGUGUUACCUGGGGUGGCCUAAAAUCCAUUUUAGCCCAGACUGUCCCUGAAUGUAGACAUCCUACUGCCUCCUCUCCAAAAUGAUGCAACUACGGUGGGAUAAUGCUAUGCACAGCUGAGCUGAUGACUGUUUUCAGCCAUGAAAGCUCCUGUACGUUCAUUACAUUUGAGCUCACUCUUAAGUGCCUUAGACUAUACAGUGGUAGAAUGUUUCAGGUCGCAUUGACUCCUCCUUUUUAAAUAUAUGUGAUAGUAACUCUUCAUCUAUGGCUUCAAUGACCUAUGAUUAGCUAAUGUUCUAAAAUAUUAGAUGGAACAUUCUAGAGAUAAAUAAUUAUUAACUUAAAUAAUUUAGGUUACAGUAUAUUUUAUAUUAUAUUGUUUAUUAUAGUUCCAAUUUUAGAAUUUUUAAAAUUACAUUUAUUUAAUUAUUCACUUAUUUAUGUGUGUGGGGUGGGGCACCAUUGCUAUGACAUGUCUAUGAGUUCAUAAAACAACUUUCGGUAACUGAAUCUCUCUCCUGCCACACAGUUCUCAGGGAUUCAUCAGGUUCCCAGGCACCCUUACCCACUGCGGCAUCUUGCCAACCUGAUAUUUUAGGUUGUUUUUGUUUAUUAUUAUCAUUUAUGUUUAUUAUUAAAACAAUACUGAUUAUUGUGUUAAUUAUAAUAUUUUUUGUUUUGUUUUUGAUUAUUUUGUUGGAUAUUUUCUUUAUUUACACUUCAAAUGUUAACAUUUUUUUCCUGGUUUCCCCUCAGAAAAACACCCUCCCCUUAUCCCCUCCCACUCCCCCUGCUCACCAGCCCACCCACUCCUGCUUUCUAGCCCUGGCAUUCCCACACAUUGGGGCAUACAGCCUUCAUAGGACAAAGGGCCUCUCCUCCCAUUGAUGUCCGACUAGGCCAUCCUCUGCUGCAUAUGCAACUGGAGCCAUGAGUCCCACCAAGUGUGCUCUUCUGUUGGCGGUUUAAUCCCUGGGAGCUCUGGGGGUACUGGUUA